rnacentral:rRNA from 1 species
CAGGCCUAACACAUGCAAGUCGAACGCACCUUCGGGUGAGUGGCAGACGGGUGAGUAACACGUGGGAACGUGCCCUUCGGUUCGGAAUAACUCAGGGAAACUUGAGCUAAUGCCGGAUACGCCCUUUGGGGGAAAGGUUUACUGCCGAAGGAUCGGCCCGCGUCUGAUUAGCUAGUUGGUGGGGUAAUGGCCUACCAAGGCGACGAUCAGUAGCUGGUCUGAGAGGAUGAUCAGCCACACUGGGACUGAGACACGGCCCAGACUCCUACGGGAGGCAGCAGUGGGGAAUAUUGGACAAUGGGCGAAAGCCUGAUCCAGCCAUGCCGCGUGAGUGAUGAAGGCCUUAGGGUUGUAAAGCUCUUUUGUCCGGGAAGAUAAUGACUGGAGAUGAAGAAUCACCCACGCUCAUCAUAGUGCCAGC